CUUGGUCAUUUAGAGGAGUAAAAGUCGUAACAAGGUUUCCGUAGGUGAACCUGCGGAAGGAUCAUUACAAAUCUUUUGCGAGUGCUCGUGCUUAACUGUGCGUAGCAUCUCACAACAUUAGCACAAGGUCGCAAGGCCUUGAUGUUUACGCUUGUUUGUUUGACAGAGUUAGUUGAGACAAUAAAAAAGACAACUUUUAACAAUGGAUCUCUUGGCUCUUGCAACGAUGAAGAACGCAGUAAAGUGCGAUAUGUAGUGCGAUUUGCAUGAAUCUGUGAGUCAUCUAAUCUUUGAACGCAACUUGCGCCUCUUACGAGGCAUGUCUGUUUGAGUGCCGUAAUCCUCUGCAGCAAUGCGAUUUGACCCGCGUCUUUGUUGACCGAGUUUAAAGGGAGCUAGAGGAUGGUCAGUUUAGACUAGCCCGAGUGCUAAGCAUUCUUGGGUCUAGCGCUGGAUUGCUCAUUUCAUCUAUUUUUUAUUUUGGCCUCAAAUCAGGCAAGACUACCCGCUGAACUUAAGCAUAUCAAUAAGCGGAGGAA
rnacentral:rRNA from 1 species